GAUGAACGCUGGCGGCGUGCUUAACACAUGCAAGUCGAGCGAGAAGUUUUGAAAAGAUUCUUCGGAUGCAAUUUAAAAUGGAAAGCGGCGGACGGGUGAGUAACGCGUAGGCAACCUGCCCCAUACAAAGGGAUAGCAUUUGGAAACGAAUAUUAAUACCUUAUGAAACUUAACUAGUGCAUGCUAGGUAGGUCAAAGAUUUAUCGGUAUGGGAUGGGCCUGCGUCUGAUUAGCUAGUUGGUGAGGUAACGGCUCACCAAGGCGACGAUCAGUAGCCGACCUGAGAGGGUGAACGGCCACAUUGGAACUGAGACACGGUCCAAACUCCUACGGGAGGCAGCAGUGGGGAAUAUUGCACAAUGGGGGAAACCCUGAUGCAGCAACGCCGCGUGAACGAUGAAGGCCUUUGGGUCGGAAAGUUCUGUUCUAGGUGAUGAAAACUGACAGUAACCUAGGAGAAAGCCCCGGCUAACUCCGUG
rnacentral:rRNA from 1 species